rnacentral:rRNA from 1 species
UACGUAGGGUGCAAGCGUUGUCCGGAAUUAUUGGGCGUAAAGAGCUCGUAGGCGGUCUGUCGCGUCUGCUGUGAAAAUCCAGGGCUCGACCCUGGACCUGCAGUGGGUACGGGCAGACUAGAGUGCGGUAGGGGAGACUGGAAUUCCUGGUGUAGCGGUGAAAUGCGUAGAUAUCCGGAGGAACACCGGUGGCGAAGGCGGCUUCCUGGACCGACACUGACGCUGAGGCGCGAAAGCUAGGGGAGCAAACGGG